rnacentral:rRNA from 1 species
GAUGAACGCUGGCGGCGUGCCUAAUACAUGCAAGUCGAGCGAACAGACGAGGAGCUUGCUCCUCUGACGUUAGCGGCGGACGGGUGAGUAACACGUGGAUAACCUACCUAUAAGACUGGGAUAACUUCGGGACACCGGAUCUUAUACCGGAUAAUAUAUUGAACCGCAUGGUUCAAUAGUGAAAGUCGGUUUUUCUGUAACUUAUAGCUGGAUCCGCGCCGCAUUAGCUAGUUGGUAAGGUAACGGCUUACUAAGGCAACGAUGCGUAGCCGACCUGCGAGGGUGAUCGGCGACAGAGGAGCUGAGACGCGAUACAGACACCGACGGGAGGCAGCGGUAGGUAAGCGUCCGCACUGGGCGAAAGCCUGACGGAGCAGCGCCACGUGGGUGAUGAAGGGCUUCGGAUCGGAAAACGCUGUUAUGGGGGAAGAACAAAUGUGUAAGUAACGAUGCGCGUCUGGACGUUACCGAAUCAGAAAGCCACGGUUAACUACGU